UCGGACAUCAGGAGGUUAGUGCAAUGGCAUAAGCCAGCUUGACUGCGAGCGUGACGGCGCGAGCAGGUGCGAAAGCAGGUCAUAGUGAUCCGGUGGUUCUGAAUGGAAGGGCCAUCGCUCAACGGAUAAAAGGUACUCCGGGGAUAACAGGCUGAUACCGCCCAAGAGUUCAUAUCGACGGCGGUGUUUGGCACCUCGAUGUCGGCUCAUCACAUCCUGGGGCUGAAGUAGGUCCCAAGGGUAUGGCUGUUCGCCAUUUAAAGUGGUACGCGAGCUGGGUUUAGAACGUCGUGAGACAGUUCGGUCCCUAUCUGCCGUGGGCGCUGGAGAACUGAGGGGGGCUGCUCCUAGUACGAGAGGACCGGAGUGGACGCAUCACUGGUGUUCGGGUUGUCAUGCCAAUGGCACUGCCCGGUAGCUAAAUGCGGAAGAGAUAAGUGCUGAAAGCAUCUAAGCACGAAACUUGCCCCGA
rnacentral:rRNA from 5 species